rnacentral:rRNA from 1 species
UAACGUAGGGUGCAAGCGUUGUCCGGAAUUAUUGGGCGUAAAGAGCUCGUAGGCGGUUUGUUGCGUCGGCUGUGAAAUCCCGAGGCUCAACCUCGGGUCUGCAGUCGAUACGAGCAAACUAGAGUGUUGCAGGGGAGACUGGAAUUCCUGGUGUAGACGGUGAAAUGCGCAGAUAUCAGGAGGAACACCGGUGGCGAAGGCGGGUCUCUGGGCCGAAUAUUGACGC